GGGAGCAUAGCUCAGCUGGGAGAGCACCUGCCUUACAAGCAGGGGGUCACAG
rnacentral:tRNA from 1 species